rnacentral:lncRNA from 1 species
AUGCUCUGGUUUCAAGGAAAUAGCAUGCAGCUUGCCAGAUCCUCCCUUGGACUCUUCUUGAUAAACUGCUCUGUCUCUAAGACAACUCUGCCCGUGCUGACCUUAUUCACAAAGGACCCACGCCCCCUUUGUGGUGAAGCCAAGGAAGUACUCAAGCCUUAUAGUAACAGGUUUAUUUUACAGGAAGUGAACGUCACACUUCCAGAAAACUCUGCCUGGUAUGAAAGGUAUAAAUUUGACAUUCCUGUCUUUCACUUGUGUGGCCAGUUUCUGAUGAUGCAUCAAGAAAACACCUCAAAACUUGACAAACAGCUCCUGAAACUUGAGCAGCAAAGUACCGGAGGCUGA